UUAUGCGGAAUUAUGGGGUGUGAAGGGUGCGUAGACGGGAAGAUAAGUGAGUUGUGAAAUCCCUCGGCUUAACUGAGGAACUGCAACUAAAACUGUUUUUCUUGAGUGCAGGAGAGGUAAGUGGAAUUCCUAGUGUAGCGGUGAAAUGCGUAGAUAUUAGGAGGAACACCAGUGGCGAAGGCGACUUACUGGACUGUAACUGACGUUGAGGCACGAAAGUGUGGGGAGCAAACAGGAUUAGAUACCCUGGUAGUCCACACCGUAAACGAUGGAUACUAGGUGUAGGAGAUAUUAAGUCUUCUGUGCCGUCGCAAACGCAAUAAGUAUCCCACCUGGGGAGUACGGCCGCAAGGUUGAAACUCAA
rnacentral:rRNA from 1 species